rnacentral:lncRNA from 1 species
CCCAAUUGACCACCGAUUGAAAGAGAAAGCAAAAAGGAAAAGAGAGAAGCAGAAACAAGGAGCUGAAAUUGAAUUUCUGGAUAGGUGAUUUUUCGACGUUGAGUGAAAAAGGAAAGUGAUAUAAUCUCCGUAGGAGCUUGUGCACACACAAGGGCAAAAAGGUAAGUAAAAAAAUCCAUUUGCAACUACGAUACAAUAACCUAGCAUUUGUGGUAUAGUGAUAUUAGGAUAUCUUCAUACUUUGAUAAGAAAGCUCGUUGUACCCUAUAUGAUGAUUUUGAUCAUUGAGUAUGCGGUUGCAAAAUACAUUGACAUCAACUUCCAUUAAGCAUGUCAUUCAUGAGCAUUUUCGUUGGCAUGCACAACAUAUGAUCAUGGUUGAAAACUUUGCAUGCGAAACAUGAUUUCAAUGUAAGUUUUCUUUAUAAAUGUUUUAUUGUCCACUACUAGGGCACCGAGGCAUGCUUAUGUGAUACGUUUGGCAUCGCGGGUGAUACUUCCUGAGUGAUUGCAAAGGUAGACAGGGGAUGGGCCUUUGGUGAUCACGGGAGGGUGGACCACUCGACUAUGCCCUUGUUAUGAUUAGUGGCGUUGCCGGGUGGGAGACUUCUUGGGUUAUCAUAGGGGUAGUUAGGGAAUGGGUCUCUAGCGGUCACGAGAGGAUGGUCCACUCACCGGUGUCGAUUUCAUAUUGGCCACUUGAUUAUUGAUAUUGAUAUUAUGCAGAGCUCUAUCCGGUGCAUAGUUGGUGGGUCAAGGGCCCAAUAAAAUGAAAGAUUUCAAAUGAAAUAAUUUCGAGUCGACUUUGAUGAAUAUUGGAAAAUGAUGCAUCUUUAGCAUGAUGUUUAAAGUAAAUGACAUGGUGUCACAUAUCCUUGUUACUUAUACUCAUGACAUGCAUGAUUCUUGCUUACUAAGCAUUGGCUUAUGUAGUUCUUGCAUUAUAGGUGAGCAUGGAACUAUGUAGAGGGCACGGCUAGCUGUGGAGCUCUUACGGGAUUCCAAGGAUCAAUGUACAUGGAUG